rnacentral:rRNA from 1 species
AAUUUUGGACAAUGGGGGAAACCCUGAUCCAGCCAUCCCGCGUGUAUGAUGAAGGNCUNNGGGUUNUNAAGUACUUUUGGCAGNNNNNAGAAGGUAACCCCUAAUACGGGCUACUGCUGACGGUAACUGCAGAAUAAGCACCGGCUAACUAUGUGCCAUCAGCCGCGGUAAUACGAAGGGUGCAAGCGUUAAUCUGAAUGACUGGGCGUAAAGCGUGUGUAGGCUGUUCGGAAAGAAAGAUGUGAAAUCCCAGGGCUCAACCUUGGAACUGCAUUUUUAACUGCCGAGCUAGAGUAUGUCAGAGGGGGGUAGAAUUCCACGUGUAGCAGUGAAAUGCGUAGAUAUGUGGAGGAAUACCGAUGGCGAAGGCAGCCCCCUGGGAUAAUACUGACGCUCAGACACGAAAGCGUGGGGAGCAAACAGG